UCGGUGGUCUAGUGGCUAGAGCGUCUGCCUCGGAUGCGGGAGGUCAUGGGUUCGAUCCCCGGAGCAGAAGAU